UUUGGGUUUUUUUUUGCAUCUUGGUGUCUUCUUAGUUGUUCCUUUCAAAUUCUUUACAUUUUUUAAGCAUUUCAACAAUCAUAUAUGUAUUUUAGUGUAGAAUAUUUGUACCCUUUCAUGCAGUAAUCUUAUUUAUUACCCUUUCAUGCAGUAAUCUUAUUAAGGUACACAAAUGUUCUAAUUUAAAGAACCGCCACUUAGUUCAAAUGAGAAAUUGCAGACAUCUAAAACCACCUUUACAAGUGGCUGAUAAAGGAGAAAAAGGGAGGGGGGUUACUAAUAAAAAAGCAGGUAAAAUAGGCAAGCACCCAAAGUCGAUUGAAGAGCAGUCCUCCUCUUGAAGGUUGGCAGAACAAUCAGGAAAAAAAGACACGAGGAGGAUUCCUCCUCCUCCUCCUCCUCCUCUCAAUGCCUGUAACACAGGAGCUGCGCUUUUCAUUCCCCCAGCCGGAAAGCCUUGGGGGGGGGAAUGGUUAGGGUCCUCUGGCAUGAGGCUGCCAGCAGAGGGAGCCAAGAAGUGGCCGGGCAGGCGAGUAGAGGAACUGUCUACUCUAGCACACUCGGCCUCUCGUGCUGACGUUCUAGCCUGUCAUUAUCGGAGAGCAGGUCCUCUGGGCGCCCCUCUUCCUGAAAGUCUCCACAGGGAUGUUCUAGCCUGCCCAAGUCAGAGGGCAGGUCCUCCGGGCCCGCCUCAUCCUGGAGUGUUGCCGUGGCGACAGCAUGACGCUAAGGGCCGGCCCUCCGAGAAGAAGGGCUAGAGCGGAAUUCUCCCUUUUAUGGUCCGGUCCUCCCGGCUUUUGCUCCAGUCGUAUCCCUCCGCUUCUUGCCCGGCCCAAACCUGGGGAGCACAGGGGUCAUUCCGGCUGCCCGCCCAUGCGAGACCUGGUCUCUCCUGGAAGCUGUGUCAUCCGGACCGGGGACGACAGCUGGCGUGCAUCUGCUGUAUGGCCAAGGCGAGGUCACUCUCAGCAGCCUGAGCCUGAGGACCAGAACACGCAGAGUGCUUCCAAUGGACCCGUCAGUUAACGUCCGUGCAGACCCCAGGCUCUCCUUAUGUCCCUGUCAUGCCUGUGUGGCGGUCGGACUUGCCGCGCUCAUCUUCAGGAGCUGAGAGGACCCUGGGCGUACAAGCAUCGGGAAGGUUGGCCGAUUUAGAAUGAUAAGGAAGUCGGUGUCCCGGAACAGACUUCACUGCAGGAAGGUGGAGUUCUCUCAGCUGCACCUACGUUUGCAGAUGCUGAUUAAGAAAUCAAUCGGUUUCUUAAAAUUCGAAUAAACUGUCUUUAAAGUA